GGAGAAUUCCAGGAGGCCUCCAGGUAUCUUCUGCCUUCCAAGGAAGAUUCCCCAACAUUUCUGGAUUCCAGGAUUUAGGGAGAAUGAGAUCAAGAUUCCCAACAGCCACAUAUUUCUCUCUGCUCUUCCAGCUACUCAUAAAUGGCCUAGUUGGACAAAUAGCCAUGAGGACCGAGCGUUGAACAAAUCCAAAGCAUCUUUUGUAGUUUUCAUGGGGAAUUCAUCCCAGGCCCAGCUCUAUACAUCACUCAGAACCUACCAUAUAUGCCACAGAAGAGGACCUGGGGACACAAAAGGACACAACAGUAAAUUUCAUAUACUCAGGAAGUUUACCUUUUUACUCUGAUGGAUUCAUAACCCCCAAAAUUAACCCCCCAGAGUUCUUCAGGGCUAUUUGAAUUUGCACUUUUAUCAUUCAAAGCACUUUAAGAUGGUGUCCCCUUUUAUUCUGCGAAUGGAAAUACUUUGCACCUGAAAAUUGGGAUUCUUUUGAUAAGUCAUUUUUCCUGGAAAUUUAACUGACUUCAGGGAUUUCAUCUAUAGAAAAUAUGAAUUGAAUCAUGUAUUUUUAUACUCAGAUUUAUUUUACUGGAAAUAUGAAUAUUAAAGCAUUUUGAUAGAGAUGAAAAGAGUAAGCAUAAAAUACCCCAAAUCCAGGUGAAAGCCAUAUUCAGUAUAAAGCCGUAUAUUUCUUGAAUGGGGAGAAUAAAUAAAUGAAUUUGUAUUUGCUUUUUCUUAACUAUAGGAAACUAACUUAAAUUUAGAAAAUGGAUUUGGGAUUAGGAUGGGAUAUCAGAGCUCUUUCAAGGAACAAUUUUUCAGUCAUUGUUCCAUUAAAAAGCUAAAAAACCCUGCAUGACUGUUUUUGAUAUGCAAAAUGUUUACCUGGGGAUGUAUUUGAGACAGUUGUGUGCUGGGAUUUUUGAGUAAAAAGAAUAAAAUCAUAUUUCCUGUA